rnacentral:rRNA from 1 species
GGCACCUCGAUGUCGGCUCAUCACAUCCUGGGGCUGAAGUAGGUCCCAAGGGUAUGGCUGUUCGCCAUUUAAAGUGGUACGCGAGCUGGGUUUAGAACGUCGUGAGACAGUUCGGUCCCUAUCUGCCGUGGGCGCUGGAGAAUUGAGGGGGGCUGCUCCUAGUACGAGAGGACCGGAGUGGACGCAUCACUGGUGUUCGGGUUGUCAUGCCAAUGGCACUGCCCGGUAGCUAAAUGCGGAAGAGAUAAGUGCUGAAAGCAUCUAAGCACGAAACUUGCCCCGAGAUGAGUUCUCCCUGACCCUUUAAGGGUCCUGAAGGAACGUUGAAGACGACGACGUUGAUAGGCCGGGUGUGUAAGCGCAGCGAUGCGUUGAGCUAACCGGUACUAAUGAACCGUGAGGCUUAACCUUACAACGCCGAAGCUGUU